CAGUAGCUGUAUCAGCUCUAGACAAAUGCAGGAGGCACUUGCAGAGAUCACAGUCAUCUGAUCUAUGGCAGUUGGGCAUAUCUCAUCUUUUAAAAAUCAGCAAAAUUCUGCUGCUGCCUGCCUGCAUCUUCAGCACUGGCUCCUUUCCCAAGGGCUCUGCACUGCUGCUGACCCUGUUCUCCUGAGCAUCGCUGCCCACAUCGGAGCGCAGUGGUCUGUGUCCCCACAACAUUGGCUAAUGCAGUCUCCUUCCCCUGCUGGAAGAUGCUGGUAGUGCCCAAGACCGUUUUAAUAAAAGGUAUUAAUGGUUAAAAUGUGUUUUCUUCAAAUAUAUAAAACAGUAAAAUCAAGCAUUUUUGAAGGUUCUAAUAACCAUGCUUGUCUCAAAUCCAAUGGCUCUAUAAAUCCAAAGGCUGAGGCUGUUUUGAACAUCUGGCAAGCCUGCACCUACUAGGACAUACUGGAAGAGUGCAGCAGGAUUCUCCCCAGCCAAGAUCUGCUGCCCUGUUGGCAGUGAGGAGCACAUGCAGUGUGGAACCCCAUCUCUCCCAGGACCAUGGGCCUGGACCAGGGGUUGGAGAGGUCUGGCCUCCUGUUAUCAUAGAAUCACUAAGGAUGGAAAGACCACUAUGAUCAUUUAGUCCAACAAUCAGUCCAUCACCACCAUACCACUAAACGACCUAGUAGCAAGAGCUAUGCCGAAGGGGUGCAGAGGUGAGAGGCUCUGUGUCCCAUAGCCUGAAUAAAAAAAUUCCCCUUAUUGCACAUAAAUUUCUGCUUUCACUCUGCUAGGAAGAAUCCUUCAGGCACCAAGCACAGAGAAGGUGCUUAACAAGUAAUAAAGAGUAGCAGUAAUAACUGAUGAGGUCUGGGCAUGUAAGUAAAAGGGGAAUACUUUGUAAAUAUUUAAAAUCUUAAAUGUACUGCAAGUAAGUCCCUCUAUGCAAUAUUGUUAAUUACCUAGACAACGCAACCUGUGCAAUCAUCUUCAAUCACAGGCUUCUAUUUAAUAACCUUACUGUAAUUUAUUGCUAUUAAACAUUUUUCU
rnacentral:lncRNA from 7 species